UGUCCCGUCCGGCAACAACACCGACUAAUAAUCAACAUUAUUACCAAUUAAUAAAAUUUAUUAUUAAUCCAUCCAAAAUUCACCUCAACAUUUUUAAACAGCACAACGACUUAUUUGAUUAAAAACCAUUAUUAAUCAAUAUACAAUUUUAUCUAAUCACUCUAGAUUACCUACUUUUCCACGAUUAUUAUUCAUCCUUGUUACCAAUGUAGCUAAUGAUAAGAGUGUAGAUAAUCUGUCAAGAGUAAAGAUCCCUUACAUGGACGAACGCAAAAUCGACAG